GUUUUUAUAAUUUAAUUAAAAAUAUUGAUUUUGUAAAUCAAAUUUAAGAUAUAUUCUUUAAAAACU
rnacentral:tRNA from 1 species